rfam:Heligmosomoides polygyrus genome assembly, scaffold: HPBE_scaffold0003169
GCGCCGGUGGUGUAAUGGCGUAGAGCAUUCCCGCCCGGUCAGAGGGAGGUGCGGGUUCGACUCCCGCCUGGCGCU